GAACAGUUAGUUUAAAAAAAACACUUGAUUUCGACUCAAUAGCUUGUAGUUAAACUCUGCAACUGUUUA
rnacentral:tRNA from 1 species